UGGCGCCCAGUGUGGGGCACCUGGCAUGGAGGAUCCAACGAGGGAGCCGUCCAGGGCCGCGCGUGUAAAAAGUGAAACUAAGAGUUUUGUGACCAAUGCUAUGUGGGAGCCUGCCACGCCGCUCAAGUCACAGUAAGUGGACGGCGAUCCUUUCCCCUUUUUUCCGGCAUGGGUCAAGCAUUAAGUGAUCACAAACUUUUCGUAGGAGGCCUAAGUAAGGCGUUAAAGACAAGAAAGAUUAAGGCUAAAGAAAAAGAUUUAUUACAGUACUUUCAAUUUAUUCAUAAGGUUUGCCUUU
rfam:Cavia porcellus supercont2_103 genomic scaffold, whole genome shotgun sequence.